rnacentral:rRNA from 1 species
CCUACGGACGGCAGCAGUGGGGAAUAUUGCACAAUGGGGGAAACCCUGAUGCCGCGCCGCCGCGUGAUUGAAGAAGUAAUUCGUUAUGUAAAGCUCUAUCAGCAGGGAAGAAAAUGACGGUACCUGAGUAAGAAGCCCCGUCUAACUACGUGCCAGCAGCCGCGGUAAUACGUAGGGGGCAACGCUGAUCCGGAUUCACUGGUUGUAAAGGGAGCGUAGACGGCAGUGCAAGUCUGGAGUGAAAGGCGGGGGCUCAACCCCCGGACUGCUCUGGAAACUGUACGGCUGGAGUGCAGGAGAGGUAAGUGGAAUUCCUAGUGUAGCGGUGAAAGGCGUAGAUAUUAGGAGGAACACCAGUGGCGAAGGCGGCUUACUGGACUGUAACUGACGUUGAGGCUCGAAAGCGUGGGGAGCAAACAGGAUUAGAUACCCUAGUAGUC